rnacentral:rRNA from 1 species
GACGAACGCUGGCGGCGUGCUUAACACAUGCAAGUCGAACGGAAAGGCCCUGCUUUUGUGGGGUGCUCGAGUGGCGAACGGGUGAGUAACACGUGAGUAACCUGCCCUUGACUUUGGGAUAACUUCAGGAAACUGGGGCUAAUACCGGAUAGGAGCUCCUGCUGCAUGUUGGGGGUUGGAAAGUUUCGGCGGUUGGGGAUGGACUCGCGGCUUAUCAGCUUGUUGGUGGGGUAGUGGCGUACCAAGGCUUUGACGGGUAGCCGGCCUGAGAGGGUGACCGGCCACAUUGGGACUGAGAUACGGACCAGACUCCUACGGGAGGCAGCAGUGGGGAAUAUUGCACAAUGGGCGGACGCCUGAUGCAGCAACGCCGCGUGCGGGAUGACGGCCUUCGGGUUGUAAACAGAUUUCGCCUGUGACGAAGCGUGAGUGACGGUAAUGGGUAAAGAAGCACCGGCUAACUACGUG